rnacentral:rRNA from 1 species
UACAGAGGUCUCAAGCGUUGUUCGGAUUCAUUGGGCGUAAAGGGUGCGUAGGCGGCGCGGUAAGUCUGGUGUGAAAUCUCGGAGCUCAACUUCGAAAUUGCACUGGAUACUGCUCUGCUAGAGGGCUGGAGAGGAGAUCGGAAUUCACGGUGUAGCAGUGAAAUGCGUAGAUAUCGUGAGGAAGACCAGUGGCGAAGGCGGAUCUCUGGACAGCUCCUGACGCUGAGGCGCGAAGGCUAGGGGAGCAAACGGG